rnacentral:lncRNA from 1 species
CACCAAAAUCUACGGUCCAAAAGAUGCCGCUUCGGGAUCUGCACAUGGUACAGAGUAUAAUAUCAGCACAACCGACCCUAAGUGCCGGUAAGUGUCUGGCCUAACCCCGGCGAAGUAGUGACAAGGCUAGGACCAAACUACCAAAUAAACUUGUGUAGUUAUAUAAUAUACAACGGAAAAUAAAAUAGAAAUAAACAAGCAAAGUAGGAGAGGGAACAUGCUAUAGGGGGGAAUAUCAUUACCAACAGUAAUUUAAGAGAAAAGGCAUAAAGAUAAUUUAGAAUUUACAGCAAAAUAAUAAGGAACUCGUAACCGGACUGUAAGCACUUUGUAUUAUCUAUUGUUGUGGCACGCAACCCGAUUCCAAAUAUAAUAACAAUAUCGUUGUGUGCAACCCAUCCAUAUUAUUUAUCACCGUUGCGGCAUGCAACCGGAUUCAAUUAUAUUGUUGUUGCGGCGUGCAACUCGAUCCAAUUAUAUCAAUGUUCGGGCGUGCAACCUGAUACAAGCAUAAUAUUGUUGCGACGUGCAACCCGAUCCAAAUAUAAUAUUGUUAUAGCGCACAACCCGAUCCACAUAUACAGGUCCAUACCAAUCACAACAAUAGUACCGACAAUGGACCAAAAAAGAAACAACACUAUCCCGGUUAGGAAAUCGACAGUAUAGUAAAUACGUUCUAGUAAGGAAAAAAUCAGCUAUAACCAAACUUGUUCCAACAUCUAAUUACCUCAACUAGCACCAAUACUCAAUCAUAAGUAAUCACCACGAGAAUAAUCAUAAUCCUUGCUCAACACAGAGAAUCAAUAACUUAGGCGUUUGUAGAAUUUAUUAAGAACACAACUAUUUCAUUUUAUGACUCACGGUCAUGUUUGACACCAACGUAUCGAUACUCGUCACCAUGUUUAUAUGUCAUACUCAACAAAUAACAUUUAGAAAAUAGGAAACAACUCCUAAUCCCUCAAGUUAAGGUUAGACCAAACACUUAUGUCGAACUUCCAUGGCCAACUGAAGCCUCAAACACCGCUAUUCCUUUUGAAUUUGGCUCCAAAUAAAUUUUAUCUAGACAUAAUCAACUUGAUAACAUCAAUAACGCUAAACAAUCCAAUUCCAUUGCUUAAUUAUAGAUUUCCUAUGAUUCUUUCCAAACCCGCAUGGUCAAAACACGAGGUUCGGACCAAACCCGAUCACCCAUUCACCCACGAUCCUAAAUAUGUAAUUAGUUCAAUAAUUUGACCCCAAAACGAUGUCUAAAUCCUAAUUAUGCAAAAAAGCCCAACCUACCCAAAUCCUUAAUUUUUUGCCCUCAAGAACAUGAUUGAGGCCUAGAAAUCUAAUGGGUGUUAAUGGAAAUUAAAUAAAAUUAGUCUAAGAUGAUAUACCUAUGGAUUUGUGGUGAAGUUCUCUUUCAAAAAUUGCUCAAUUUGGAGUUUGGAAGAAGAAGUUAUGAAUUUUUGGUGAAAUCUAGUAUGUUCUAUUAUUGUUUAAAAAUUACUGGACAUGCAUUCAUCACAUUCGCGAUAGGCCUGUCAUGUUCGCAAUGGGUCAGGAUCAAUUAACCAUCGCGUUCGCGAUACAAGGCUUGCGUUCGGGGAGCUUCAACCCCUGGAGCCUUCACGUUCGAGAUAGCAAGCCCGCGUUCGUGAAGGGGUCCCUAAAAGCAUUACUUUCACAUUUGUUCUCUCGCGUUUGCGUAGAAGGAAGUUUCCUUCAGCCUAACUUACCCUUCGCGUUUGCGAGAGUUCUUCCGCGAACGCGAAGAACAACAUACCGGAACACCAGAAACUAAAAACCCGCAAUGUUUUCCAAGUUUAAAACCUUUCGAAACUCACCUAAGCCCUCGGAGUUCCAAACCAAACAUGCAUACUAACUCAACAACAUCAUAUUAACUUAUCCGUGCGAUCAAGUCGCCAAAAUAACUUCUUAAACAACGAAUUUAGCAUAGAAAUCUAAGAAAAAUCUCAAAAUUUGUUAAGUAUCAAUUUUCACAACUACAGAUCCGAAUCGCCUCAAAUGACUUCCGUUUCUUACCAAAUUUAAAAGACUCAUAUUAAAUCAUAUAUAUGACCUGUACCGGACUCCAGAACAAAAAUACAGGCCUGAUACAAUUAAGUUUUAAACAAAUUUCAUUUCCAAAAACUCAUGAAUAUUGCAGAAAAAUAAUUUUCUUUAAAAAUUCGUUUCUCGAGCUUAGGACCUCGAAAUUCGAUUAUAGGUAUACCCUAAGUCCCAUAUUUUUUCACGGACCCUUCGGAAUUGUCAAAUCACUGGUCCAGGUUCAUUUACUCAAAAUAUUGAUUGAAUUCAACUUAAAUGUAUUUUACGGUCAAAGUUCAUCAUUUUUCACAUAUUUCACAUAAUGGCUUCCCGGACUACGCACAUAAAUUGAGGUGAUGCUGAAAGAGGUUUUUAAGGCCUCAAAAUGAAUUUUUUUAAAACAAGUGAUGACCUUUUGGGUCAUCACAUUCUCCACCUCUAAAACAACCGUUCGUCCUCCAAGGGACAUAAGAAGGAAGUACCUGUGUCGGGGAAAAUAUGGGGAUAACGGCUCUGCAUAUCAGACUCGAACUCAUAGGAUGAUGCCUCAGCGGGCUGACCUCUCCAUUGAACAUGAAAAGAAGGAAAACUCUUAUUUCUCAACUAACGAACCUGCCGGUAUAGAAUAUCUACUGGCAAUGCUAAAAUCUAACACGUUUAAUGGAUUGCCGUGAUACUUUCAAAGCAUGAACAAAUGAAACACUAGAUGUAAGACUGAAAAGCUCGGCGGCAACGCACGUCUGUAAUCCACCUCUCGUACUCGAUCAAGAAUCUCAAACGAGCCAAUAAAUAUAGGGCUAAGCUUUUCCUUCUUUCCAAAUAUCAUCACACCCUUCAUAGGUGACACCCGAAGCAAUAUCCGCUCACCGACCAAGAAUGCUAAAUCUCGAACCUUACGGUCAACAUAACUUUUUUGCUUGGAUUGAGCUUUAUGAAGCCUAUCCUGAAUAAUACUGACCUUGUCCAGCCAUCUCCAGCCUUGCUCUAGUGGCUCUUGGUCUUCUGAGCCUGAUUCUGACCUUAUCCGACUUAGAUCGGACAUUUUCUAAGCCUUUCUCAUCUAGGGUUCUUCUCAAAUCCUAACUUUUCGAGGUUUUCUCUAAUUUUCUUGGAUCUGUUGUGUAUUCAUGCUCUAUUUGAGUUUUUGAAUGAUUUUCCAUUCUUUUUCGAAAAUUACUUUCAAAAGUUACUUCUUCCCGAUUUAGGAUUUUCUAAAAAUUUUCAAAAUGUUUAUCUGACUUCUCUUUUCCUUUCAAUUGUGUGUAUUUAUAUGUACUAUGUUCUUAUGUUUUCUUUUCUACCACGCAUCUUCUUCUAUUGUGUUCUUAUGUUUUCUCUUUAUCAUGCAUGUUCUUAUACUACGUUCCGUUCUUUCUUCUACCGUGUCUUCUAUGCUAUGUUCUCACAUGCUUUCUCACUAUGUUCUACUAUUUAUUUUGAUAUGCUCUUCCUAUUGUAUCCUUCUACCAUAUGCUUAAGUGUUCACUGUUUUCUCUCUGCUUUACCUAUUCUAAGUUUCUUCUAAAAGACCUGUUUAAAGCAUGUUUUCUUCUAUAGUUUCUUCUACUCUCACUAUGCUUCGAAUCAGAUUCUUCACUUUGUUUGCUUUGAGCUUUCUACUGUACUUGUUUGUUUUCUCGUGAAUCUCUGAAUGAGAUCUCUGAGCCCGUUAACUACUUGCUUCUUAAACUUUGUAUUUGGUUCGAGGCGAAAACCGUAGAAUUUGGGGGUUAUGCCAAGGUAUAAUCCUAUGAUUAAACUAGGGUUAAUAAAACCAUGAAUCUUUUAGACUAAGUUCUGAGUCUCUGAACUAGGUUCGAACUUCUUUAUUUGCAUACAAUUCUGAUUCUACUACACUAGACUCUUUUAUUGAAUAGCAUGACAAAUUCCUUCAUGUUUAAGCAUGCAUGUAUCCUUUAUAUGUGUGCUGAAUCCUUCUUUAAAAGGUUCUUAAACUUAUGAUUGAAUCAGAAUCCUUUUAGGCUUAAAUGAUUGUUACUGAUUUCCUUAAGGAAAACCUUUUCUUCACCUUUUCUGACUGGGUUCAAUCAUAUAAAAUCUUUGACUUUUGAUUUUUUGGUUGUUAACUGAUUCCUUUACCUUAUUUGCACGAACCGUGUAUUGUCAAGACCUUUUUCUUAAACAGACCUUUAAGUAUUUACCCCUAUUAUACUACCUUAAAAAGUGUUUGAUUAAUUUAGUUCCUUAAUUACUUUUACCAUUUAAUAUCAAAAUACCUUAAUUAAAGGGAAACCUUUUUUAAUAGAUUGACAAUUAAUUUUCAAACUAUUCUCUUACCUUAUUUCUGCUUGCCUUCUACACUAUAAAAAGCACGACCUCUUUUUCACAAACAAACUUUCAAUACACAACUGUAUACACUUCAGACUUCACAAUUGUAAUUCUCAUAACCUCUUCUGAACUUUCUUGUCUGCACUUUGGCUUUCUCAAGACUGUUUCUUUAUUUUGCUUGUUUCUUUUAAAAACCGGUAUGUCUUGAUUCAAUUCCCAGCAUAAUCCCAAUAUGUGUAUUUACAGUCUUUGUGCCUAUGUCUACUUUCUGUAGAAUUUGACAUUGAAAUGCUUAUGUGCUACUGUUUGCUUUACUUUGUUGUAAACAUUAGUUCCCCAUCCCAUUUACCCUCUAUAUGUUUGUAAGUGGGGACUCAGGGCAUGGCAACAAGAAUUGUUUCUUAUGGACUGAGUUUUGACCCCUUAAGUAGGCUAAAGGGUAUGCCAGUAUGUCUCAUUGUUAGGUAUGUCCUUGUCUACUCCUUUCUUGUAUCCUAGUUGAUAUGAAUCCCCAUAUCCCCAUUCCUUUAUGUAUGCUAAGUUAAGAUGUAGCCUGGCAGCAUCUCAAUUGUUGUCCAGGGUUGAACCUAACCUUCAAUAGGUCCUAAAUCCCCAAUUUGAAACUUGAAAGCUGGUCAGGGGUGUCCCAGAACCCCAAAAAUGCUUGGCAUGACCACCAGCUUGCCAUUUUCCCUCUACUGCACUUGCGCUUAUUCCUAGCCUCUAAGUUAUGUCCCCUUCAUAUGAGCCUUGCCUUGGGACCUUGAGUUCCCUCUGAAUUUGGAUAUUUCAGGGUUGGCUCUUCUAUAUUACACUAUAAUCUGAUUCUGCAAUAAUAUUUGGGGUGUAAGCAUUACAGGAGUUCUUGAAGCUCCUUGGAACUUGGACACAUCCCAAAUAAGAGAAAGUCUUUGAAAAUUGGAUCCUAGAAGUUGGUUUAUCCCAUAUUAUUAGACUCUAAGUCUGAAUUAGGCUGAUUAGAUAUAGAUGUAAUCACUAAUGUAGUUUUACUUUCUUUCUGAUUCAUUUGGUUUGUAACAACUUUGCAAUAACUACUGGGGCGAAUAGUGAAAAAGGGAUGGGACUUAAUGUGUGCAAAAGGGUAGAUAUCAUGUCUAUAGCGAAUUACUAUUUCUGAAAUUCUACCUCUCAUAUAGAUAUCAUGUCAAUAGGGAAUCGUUAUUUCUAAAUUUCUGCAUUUCAUAUAGAUAUCAUGUCUAUAGGAAAUUACUUCUUCUAAAACUUCUGCAUUUUAUAUAGAUGCCAUGUUCAUAAGUUUUUUCACCUCAUAUAGAUACCAUGUUCAUAGCUUUCCCGCAUCUCAUAUAGAUGCCAUGUUCAUAGGUUUUUGUCACUUCGUAUAAAUACCAUGUCCAUAAGUCGUUACUGAAAUUCUGCAUAUCAUAUAGAUAACAUGCCUAUAGGAUUUCAUUCAAUUUGCAUAUGCAUCUGUCACUAGGCAAAUCUGCUUAUGGGAGUUAAAUAACCAAUUGGAUAUAGAUGACCUGCCUAUAGGAUCUUUGUAAUCAGUACUCCUUUAUCUCAGAGCUAAUAGACAUCAUGUCUAUAGGUCCCAUUUAACACAUAGACGAAUGAUUAGGUAAUUAAUCAACUGUUCAGUUUUUGACAACCACAUCUAAGCAGGGCUAAUUUGGACUCCCUAUCUGGGAAAUAUGUGGUAAAUCAACCUAUCCUACGCCUUAAUUUAUUUCAGACCAAACCAGUAUGUGUAAGACAUGCUAAAAUAUAUGCCUUUCUUUGAUUUAAGGAGGCUUAUUUGAGCCAUAUCUCUUUACUUGCCUUCCAAUAUUUGUUGUAUAUGUUUUGAAUGUCACCUUAGAAUUUUAUCCAUUGAGAACUCUCAAAAGGCCCCCAACUCCCUCCUCUUUAGGAUUAGUAGUCCCAUAUGCCUCAAUAACUGAUAGGAUUGGGACGGGUAGUUGCAUGCAAUAAGUAACAAUACUAUUAUGUGAUUUAAUACCUUAAUGGGGUGGGAAGGGUAGAAUAUGAAUAUGAUGACCGAUGCUGUAAUAUCACGUGCAACCCCUCUUCUGAGGAGUGAUUGUGGGAUAUUGCAUUGAUGUGAUCCAUAUUGUUCAUAAAACUAUGACCCCUCUCCCUUUAUUUGCUUUCAUCUAUUCUUGUAAAAUAAUGUAAGUCUAUUUUCAUAAUAUUCUGCCCUCUCUGCUUACCUUCGAAAGUAUUCAACUUAUUAGCAAUGUUAAAUGCAAGUCCUUAUUUGAGCCUUAAUUGCUUAUGUGUUUAUAUAAAGUCACAAUUGUAACAUGGUUGCGAACCACACUAGUGAAUCCUGAGGGGUGCCUAACACAUUCCGAUCGGGAUAAAUUCUAGCCCAUACCAAAAUAUCUGGUUUCUAAAUCCAAAACCCUCUUACUGUCCUAAUGCACUUAAUCAUUAGGUGGCGACUCUUCAAUUAAAAACUCCAAUUCCAAAAAUGGAACAAGUUGUCCUCCCAAAUGUCACAAGCCUGAUUUUGCCUUAGAAAAAGGGGGCGCGACAACAUGGCGACUCUGCUGAUGAGUUUUUUUAGGCUUUUACCAUCUCAAUUCGAAAGUUUUCAACUUGGCUGAACCCCCAAAUUCUAGGGUUUCCGCCUCUAACCAAAUACAGAGACGAAGAGGCAAGUAGUUGAAACAGGCUCAGAGAUCUCAUUUAGACUCAUGAGAAAUCAAAAAAGUAAAGUAGAAAUUUCAAUGCAAACAGAGUGAAGAAACAGAUUCAAAGCAUAGUGAGAGUAGAAGAAAGAGUAGAAGAAAACAUGCAUUAAACAAAUCUAUUAGAAGAAACAUGAAACAUGUAAAGCAGAGGAUAAAAUAGUGAACACUUAAGCGCAUGGUCGAAGGAUACAAUAGGCAGAGCAUAUAAGAAAAUAGCAGAACAUAGUGAGAAAACAUGUGAGAACAUAACAUAGAAAAUAUAGUAGAAUAAAAAAUGGAACACAGUUAAAGAACGUGUGUGAUAAAGAGAAAACAUAAGAACACUGUAGAAGAACAUGCGUGGUAGAAAACAAAACAUAAGAACAUAGUACAGACAAAUACACACAAAGCAAAGGAAAAGAAAAGUCAGAGAAAGAUUUUGAAAAUUUUAAUAAAAGCGUAAAUUGGGAAGAAGUAACUUUUGAAAGAAAAAGUUGGGAAAAUUGUUCAAAAACUCAAAUAGAGCACGAUACACAAUAGAUCUAAGAAAAUAGAAGAAAACCUCGAAUAGUUAGGCUUCCAGAAGAACACUAGAGUGAGAAAGGCUUGGAAAAGGUCCGAUCUAAGUAGGAUAAGGUUAGAAUCAGGCUCAGAAAACCAAGAGCAACCAGAGUAAAGCCGGAGAUGGCCAGAAUCCUCGAAUCGAUGAAGGUCUGAGUGAAGCCCCUCGAAGUCUAUCCUUGAUCCUUCAAACAUCAGGCUUAUAAGAGUAGCAGGAGGUGAGUACAGGUUGUUCAUGGCUUGAGAAGCCAUGGACUCACGUGAGUUUAAGGGUGGAGAUGGUAGAAGGCGACUAGGGUUUAAGGGGAGUUGAGAGAAGACUGAGAGAGUGUGGGAUUCAGAGGCG